CGGCGGGACUGCAGCGGUCUGUGCUUCUGUUCACGACACUCACCACCUGCAUUGAUGACAUCACCAUCACCAUCACCACCAGCGUGGAGCAAGACAGUGGCGAGAGCUUCCACGUUACUGCCACCUGCUAUAGGUGACUGAGAAGUGGGCCUAGGGCACCUUCAGACUCAACCCCAAUGAUGAGGACAUCCACACAGCCAGCGAGCACCACCUGAAGGGUCUUGCUCUAUCACCUAGUCUGGAGUGCAGUGGUGGGAUCUCUCCUACCUGCAAACUUUGCCUCCCUGGAUCAAGUGAUUCUCCUACCUCAGCCUCCCAAGUAGCUGGGAUUACAGAGUUUUGCUCUUGUCACCCAGGCUGAAGUGCAAUGGCACUCGGCUCAGUGCAACCUCUGCCUCCCAGAUUCAAGCAAUUCUCCUGCCUCAGUCUCCACAGUAGCUGGAACUACAGAGAUGAGCUCUUGCUCUGUCACCUAGGCUGGAGUGCAGUGGCUCAGUAAUAGUUCACUGCAGCCUUAAACUCCUGGACUCAAAUGAUCUUCCCACCUCAGCUUUCUGAGUAGGGAACAUGACAUCCUCUUCCUAGGUUACACCCACCUGCAGAGGGCCCAGCCCCAUCACUGGAGCCACUGGAUUCUGAGGAUGAGUAUUUUGUGUCAAGUGGAUUCAAGGGACAGUGCGAAGGAUCCAUGGCCUCAGUCAUGAAGACCCUCCCAAGAGCCAACCGUCCUGGGCACAUAUAAAUGAGUGGAGACAUGGAACUCACCCUUACAAGGCCUAGAACUUGACAGAGCAUACAAGACAGAAGCCCAAAUAACCAAG